ACUUACCCAAUUCUGGCACGGAGAGGUAGUGACGAAAAGUAACGGCCUUGUGACUCGGCUGAGGCCUCAGGGUUGGAAAAAGAUUGUACUAAACCCUCUAUCGAGGAUUGGAGGGCAAGUCUGGUGCCAGCAGCCGCGGUAAUUCCAGCUCCAUUAGCAUAUAUUAAACUUGCUGCGGUUAAAAAGCUCGUAGUUGGAUUUUACAUCCGGGCCGGUAGCCCAUACGUGUCGCGUGUUUCACGCUCGCUGUCUAAGAUGCGUUAACUGUCCCGACGUCGCGUACGUCCUCUUGGUCUGUGGCCGGUGAGCGGUGGUAUUCGUCCGACUGGCGCGGUUCGACUUCGGUUGUAAGGGGGCGUGGCGAGUUGCGGUGGAGGCGGUGGUUGCGNGCCCUUUACGGGCGCGCGCCGCCGCAGCCUCCCUUCGCUUCGCUCGCUACUCAGGCGCAUCGCAUUAAACCGGAGAUUGCGCAUAAGGUUCCCGUCGUUGCGGGAGGAUACGCGCCCCCUCGGCCUCGGCCGUUGUGGGUGGCGAUCCUCGUUAUCCGUCGGCGGUGAGCCUGCAUUUUCCGGCGCGUUGUCGUUUCCUGGGUUCCGUCGUCCUAGUCGGUACGUGCUUAACCCUUCCGCGCCUUGACCAACGGCAGCGUCGGAAGGACAGACGCUGAAAAACUUACCAGCGAGUGAGCUCGCGGGCGGUGGCUUACUGUCGGUCUCCGGAGCGAUAAAGUCUGUCGGUUCACACAAGGGGCGUGCUCUUCAAUGAGUAUGUCUUCUGCCGUGGCCGAUACGUUCACUUUGAAAAAAUUAGAGUGCUCAAAGCGGGCGAUCGUAAAAACGCUCGAAUACCACUGCAUAGAAUGAUGGAACAGGACCUCGGUUCUGCUUUUCCGUCGGUUUAAUGUUCCUGAGGUAAUGGUUAAAGGGGACAGACGGGGGCAUUAGUACUGCGGCGCGAGAGGUGAAAUUCUUUGACCGUCGCAAGACUACCUACUGCGAAAGCAUUUGCCAAGAAUGUUUUCAUUAAUCAAGAACGAAAGUUAGAUGAUCGAAGGCGAUUAGAUACCGCCCUAGUUCUAACCGUAAACGAUGCUGACCAGCUAUCCGCUCGCGUCAUACCCACGACCGAACGGGAUACUUCCGGGAAACCACUUAAGUUGGAGCUCCGGGGGGAGUAUGGUCGCAAGACUGAAACUUAAAGGAAUUGACGGAAGGGCACCACCAGGAGUGGAGCCUGCGGCUUAAUUUGACUCAACACGGGGAACCUCACCAGGUCAGGACAUUGUUAUGAUUGACAGAUUGAGAGCUCUUUCUCGAUUCGGUGAAUGGUGGUGCAUGGCCGUUCUUAGUUGGUGGAGCGAUUUGUCAGGUUAAUUCCGGUAACGAACAAGGCUCUAUCCUACUAACUAGUCGGCGUAUCGUUUACGCCCAGUCUCUCUUCCCCGAACAGGCUCCACUCGUCCCGCCUUCGGCUGUAGCCUCGGCGCGGGUGUUGCUAAGGGCGUGUCGGGUUUUAUCUCGGGAAGGCGGAGGGUGUCGGCGUUUGAGAGGGGGUCUUUCAGGCUCGAGGCGGCGGAUGCGGGUCGAGCGUGGCCGCGGCUCCGGCAGUUAUGACACUGUCGGCGGUCGUCGGUCCGCGUUCGUUGUCCCGUUUUACCGUCCCCGAACUGCUCCUCUCGCGCCCGCCUUCCUCUUCCCGAGUGCCCGCGUGCCUCCGAUGCCGCUCGUGCUGUUGCAGCCGUUCCAGCGGGGCGAUGCCUGGAAGGGGUCUGAGCUGGGGUGCGUACGUUGAAUGUAAUCUUCUUAGAGGGAUCGGCGGCAGAACU
rnacentral:rRNA from 1 species